rnacentral:lncRNA from 1 species
AAGAUCUAAAAUCAAUCCCAGUUUCUCCAUUUCACAAAUCUGCCUUUAAUUAGCAAUAACAUUCCUUUAUUUCACUGGAUUUCCAUAUUUAACAUGAUAGGCUGACCUGCAAAUCCCAUGCAACAUGUUCCUCCAUUAAUUCAGGUGUCAGCUUCAUAAAAUAUGGUGAGAUUAUGAUGGGCUGCACAUUCUGUUCUGUUGAAUAAUCAAAGUACAUUCAUUGAUUCAAAGCAGGGCAGUGCACUAUCAUUUUAUCAGACAAUUAUAUUCUUGCGUCUGCAAGAAAGGGGCAUUGCACUUGAGUGCUUAAGAAUCAAUGCAGUCUUAAGAUUUGAAGCACUUAGUCUAUAGUUUAUUUUCUCUCUGACGCAUGUACUCUUUCGGCAACUAAUCUUUUAUUUUUAAUGCAGCUGCAAAUUAAAAUAAUGGCAGACUGAUCCCAACUUGCAGUUUAUUUGUGUUUUAAAUUUGUGAAGUAGGAGAUAGGGGAAGGCUAAAUUCUAAUACACGGCUCUGUUUCCAGGAAACAUCCUCCUCUGUGUAACCAUGUGAUGUUGCCCUUCUUUUUGCACAAAUAAAAUCCCUAAUCAUAUUUUUAAAUCCCAGGAUUUGAUCCGUAUUUUGAUGUACUUAAAAGGCGUCCCACACCGUCCAUUUUGGUCCUAUAAAUAUAUCUUGCAACAUAGGCCAUGCUUUGAGACCAUCCAUAACUUAAUUGUCUUAUUUUUCUUAUUGUCUACAAUAUAAUUUUAUUCUUUUAUUUUUAAUGUUGGUUUUAAAGCUCAAAACUUUUUUCUUUAUUUCUUACAUUAAAAUAUGGAAUUAUCCUAUACCACUCCACUAAUAAUGUAUUCUCG